rnacentral:piRNA from 1 species
UGCAGUUUUUGAAAAAAAUCU